UACGAAGGGGGCUAGCGUUGCUCGGAAUCACUGGGCGUAAAGGGUGCGUAGGCGGGUCUUUAAGUCAGGGGUGAAAUCCUGGAGCUCAACUCCAGAACUGCCUUUGAUACUAAAGAUCUUGAGUUCGGGAGAGGUGAGUGGAACUGCGAGUGUAGAGGUGAAAUUCGUAGAUAUUCGCAAGAACACCAGUGGCGAAGGCGGCUCACUGGCCCGAUACUGACGCUGAGGCACGAAAGCGUGGGGAGCAAACAGG
rnacentral:rRNA from 1 species